rnacentral:rRNA from 1 species
UGGGGAAUAUUGGACAAUGGGGGAAACCCUGAUCCAGCAAUGCCGCGUGAGUGAAGAAGGCCUUAGGGUUGUAAAGCUCUUUCAGAAGUGAAGAUGAUGACUGUAACUUCAGAAGAAGAUCCGGCUAACUCCGUGCCAGCAGCCGCGGUAAUACGGAGGGAUCUAGCGUUGUUCGGAAUUACUGGGCGUAAAGGGCGCGUAGGCGGUAUGAUUAGUCAGAGGUGAAAUCCCUAAGCUUAACUUAGGAACUGCCUUUGAUACUGUUAUACUAGAGAACGAGAGAGGUGAGUGGAAUUCCAAGUGUAGAGGUGAAAUUCGUAGAUAUUUGGAAGAACACCAGUGGCGAAAGC